rnacentral:tmRNA from 1 species
GGGGGCGUACUGGGUUCGACGAAGGUACAUGAAGCAACGACUGCAUGUCGGGGGUCCAUCUCCCGUAAACGGUGGAAACACAACAAACGCCAACACUGAUCUGGCACUGGCUGCUUAAGCCACGUCCUUCCUGACCACGCCUGCCGGGCGGGAAAGGACGUCGACCAGGCGGGCUUGGCCGGCGGUCCUCCCGAGCCGCCGGUGAGACUCAGGGAUAGGUCCUACGGCGCGAUUCGCCGGGUUGAUGCGCCGCGGGGCCGAAACAGGGAAAGGCGCCUCCGGGCGCGGGUUCCCGCCACAACCCGGAUACGCAUGUAGACGUCGUUGUCGAAGGCUUUCGGACGCGGGUUCGAUUCCCGCCGCCUCCACCC